rnacentral:rRNA from 1 species
GAUGAACGCUGGCGGCGUGCUUAACACAUGCAAGUCGAACGGAGUUUACAUGUGAGCGGAGGGUGCUUGCAUCUAACAAUCUUUUGUAAACUUAGUGGCGGACGGGUGAGUAACGCGUGGGUAACCUGCCGUAUACAGGGGGACAACUGCCCGAAAGGGUGGCUAAUACCGCAUGUGGUGGUGCGUUCGAUCGCACCAGUAAAGCCGCAAGGCGCUUCGGGAGGGGCCUGCGUCCGAUUAGCUCGUUGGUGGGGUAACGGCUCACCAAGGCGACGAUCGGUAGGUGGUCUGAGAGGACGAUCACCCAGACUGGGACUGAGACACGGCCCAGACUCCUACGGGAGGCAGCAGUCGGGAAUUUUGCGCAAUGGACGAAAGUCUGACGCAGCAACGCCGCGUGAGGGAUGACGGCCUUCGGGUUGUAACCUACUUUGUUCUAGGACGGAUUAUGACGGUACCUGACGAUAAGCCACGGCUAACUACGUGCCAGC